rnacentral:rRNA from 1 species
CUGAUGUGCAACCCGCUGAGGAAGACGGUCUCGAUUUUACUCCGUUCAUUCGGAGUAAGACUGCUGUAUAGCAGACAGGCUGAUAGUUCAGAAGGGGAAGGACGCUACCUCGGCAGCAGCCCCGGUAAUACGAAGUCCCGAGCGUUGUUCGAAUCACUGGGCGUAAGGAGCGUAGCGCGCGUAAGUCAGAUUUGAAUCCCGGGCUCAUCCCGGAACUGCAUCCGAUACUGCCGUGCUAGAGGAUUGGAGAGGUAGCUGGAAUUCUUGGUGUAGCAGUGAAAUGCGUAGAUAUCAAGAGGAACACUCGUGGCGAAAGCGAGCUACUGGACAACUCCUGACGCUGAGGCUCGAAGGCUAGGGUAGCGAAAGGGAUUAGGUACCCCUGUAGUCCUAGCAGUAAACGGUGCACGCUUGGUGUGAGGGGAAUCGACCCCCCUUGUGCCGGAGCUAACGCGUUAAGCGUGCCGCCUGGGAAGUACGGUCGCAAGACUAAAACUCAAAGAAAUUGACGGGGACCCGCACAAGCGGUGGAGUAUGUGGCUUAAUUCGAUGCAACGCGAAGAACCUUACCAAGGCUUGACAUGCAUCUCUAAACACGUGAAAGCGUGUGACCCUUCGGGGAAUUUGCACAGGUGCUGCAUGGCCGUCGUCAGCUCGUGUCGUGAGAUGUUGGGUUAAGUCCCGCAACGAGCGCAACCCUUGUGAUUAGUUGCCAGCACGUUAAGGUGGGAACUCUAGUCAGACUGCCCAGAUCAACUGGGAGGAAGGUGGGGACGACGUCAGGUCAGUAUGGCCCUUACGCCUUGGGCUGCACACAUACUACAAUGCCCAGCACAAUGAGAACCGAUACCGCGAGGUGGAGGAAAUCUGUAAAACUGGGCUCAGUUCGGAUUGGAGGCUGCAACUCGCCUCCAUGAAGUUGGAAUCGCUAGUAAUGGGGCAUCAUCUACGGCCCCGUGAAUACGUUCCCGGGCCUUGUACACACCGCC